rnacentral:rRNA from 1 species
UACGUAGGGGGCAAGCGUUGUCCGGAUUUAUUGGGCGUAAAGAGCGUGUAGGCGGCUUUACAGGUCCGUUGUGAAAACUCGAGGCUCAACCUCGAGACGCCGGUGGAAACCGUAAGGCUAGAGUCCGGAAGAGGAGAGUGGAAUUCCUGGUGUAGCGGUGAAAUGCGCAGAUAUUAGGAAGAACACCGGUGGCGAAGGCGGCGACCUGGUCCGAUACUGACGCUGAGGCGCGAAAGCCAGGGAGCAAACGGG